GUUGAAAAUACCACCCUGAAUGCGCCCGAUCUCGUCUGAUCUCGGAAGCUAAGCAGGGUCGGGCCUGGUUAGUACUUGGAUGGGAGAAAGUUGAAAAUAGAGCUACC
rnacentral:rRNA from 1 species